CUUAUGCCGGCGACCGGCGGACGGGUGCGUAACGCGUAUGUAACCUACCUUUGACAGGGGGAUAACAUCGAGAAAUUGGUACUAAUACCCCAUAACAUCACCGGAGGCAUUUUCGGUGGUUGAAAACUCAGGUGGUCAGAGAUGGACAUGCGUUGUAUUAGCUAGUUGGUGAGGUAACGGCUCACCAAGGCGACGAUACAUAGGGGGACUGAGAGGUCAACCCCCCACAUUGGUACUGAGACACGGACCAAACUCCUACGGAAGGCAGCAG
rnacentral:rRNA from 1 species